CCCCUCUCAGGGUCGCACUUGGAGAGUUUCCAGUACUCUACCAGUUUUGGGUGUGGGAGGGAGAGUCAAGCAGAGGCCUACCCGUUCCAUUCCUAGCUUGGCCAGUGGAUAACGAGUGGAAGACAAUCCGCUACAAGU